AAAGGUUUGGUCCUAGCCUUACUAUCAAGUUUUACUUAAUUUACACAUGCAAGUCUCCGCACCCCGGUGAAAACGCCCAUAAACUCCUUUUAGGAAAACGGAGCUGGUAUCAGGCACAACUAAGUUAGCCCAUAACACCUAGCCACGCCACACCCCCAAGGGUAUUCAGCAGUGAUUAACAUUGAAAAUUAGCGACAGCUAGAUUCAGUUAAAGUAAAUAGGGCCGGCAAAUCUGGUGCCAGCCGCCGCGGCUACACCACGAGGCCCAAUUUGAUAGUCACCGGCGUAAAGCGUGAUUAAAGCUCAUGAUUAUACUAGAGUAAAAUUAUAACCGCACUGUGAUAAGUCUGUUAUUUAGAAGCCCAAGAACGAAAGUCACUCUAAAACCUACUUGAACUCACGACAGCUGAGAAACAAACUGAGAUUAGAUACCUCACUAUGCUCAGCCGUAAACCCUUUAAUUACAUUCAAAACCGCCAGGGAACUACGAGCCCACCCUUAAAACCCAAAGGACUUGACGGUGCCCCAUAUCCCCCUAGAGGAGCCUGUCCUAUAAUCGAUGAUCCACGUUAAACCUCACCACUUCUUGCCUACCCGCCUGUAUACCUCCGUCGUCAGCUCACCGCAUGAGCGAUUUAUAGUGAGCAAAAAGGCCAUUCGCCAAAACGUCAGGUCAAGGUGCAGCACAUGAAGUGGGAAGAGAUGGGCUACAUUUUCUAACUCUAGAAAAAACGAAAGACCUAGUGAAACCCUGUCAGAAGGCGGAUUUAGCAGUAAAGAAAGACCAAAAUGCUCUCUUUAACACGGCCCAGGGGCAUGUACACACCGCCCGUCGCCCUCUUCGAUAAUACAAUUUAGUAAAUAACUAACCUAAACUUCUAAGAAGAGGUAAGUCGUAACAUGGUAAGUAUACCGGAAGGUGUGCUUGGAAC
rnacentral:ncRNA from 1 species